GACGAACGCUGGCGGCGUGCUUAACACAUGCAAGUCGAACGGAAAGGCCCUGCUUUUGUGGGGUGCUCGAGUGGCGAACGGGUGAGUAACACGUGAGUAACCUGCCCUUGACUUUGGGAUAACUUCAGGAAACUGGGGCUAAUACCGGAUAGGAGCUCCUGCUGCAUGGUGGGGGUUGGAACGUUUCGGCGGUUGGGGAUGGACUCGCGGCUUAUCAGCUUGUUGGUGGGGUAGUGGCUUACCAAGGCUUUGACGGGUAGCCGGCCUGAGAGGGUGACCGGCCACAAUGGGACUGAGAUACGGCCCAGACUCCUACGGGAGGCAGCAGUGGGGAAUAUUGCACAAUGGGCGGAAGCCGGAUGCAGCAACGCCGCGUGCGGGAUGACGGCCUUCGGGUUGUAAACCGCUUUCGCCUGUGACGAAGCGUGAGUGACGGUAAUGGGUAAAGAAGCACCGGCUAACUACGUG
rnacentral:rRNA from 1 species